CCCACGCCCGCGCCCGCCACCAAGGCCGCCGCCCUGGGUCCAGCCACCCCUGCUCCCGUCGUCGCUCUCUAGCCGCCCUAGCCCUUGGCAAAGAUGCCGCCGUGGGGCUGGGCGCGGACGCUGUGCUGCGCGCGCGCGCCCCAUGCCUGUGGAUCUAGCCGCCGACUCCCUCUCCGCUGCGUCCUCCGCCGGCCUCCACCGAGCUCCUCUCCCUGCUGGCCAUGGCAAUCGUCGCCCCAGGGACCCACCUCCCUUCCCCUUGGCCGCAGAAGCGCCGCCCGACCCCUGGUCACCUAGACCCGCGCCGCCCCUCUUCCUGGCCGCGGCUCCCUUUCCUCUCCCCUUUGGCUAGCCAGCUCUAGGAUCGGCGGCACCAUCAACGCGCCCCCUACCCUCGCUUGAGCCGCACAGCAACGCUUCUCUCUUCACGCCUCUCCCGUCACCGGCGUCAACCAAUCCUGCCAGGUCCGGUGUAGGCCCCUUGUCCGGCUGGACUCGCCCCGUCGCCCUCCCCCUUCAUCGCCUUCGCUGGAUCCG
rnacentral:misc_RNA from 1 species